AGUGAACGCUGGCGGUAGGCCUAACACAUGCAAGUCGAACGGCAGCACAGGAGAGCUUGCUCUCUGGGUGGCGAGUGGCGGACGGGUGAGGAAUACAUCGGAAUCUACUUUUUCGUGGGGGAUAACGUAGGGAAACUUACGCUAAUACCGCAUACGACCUACGGGUGAAAGCAGGGGAUCUUCGGACCUUGCGCGAUUGAAUGAGCCGAUGUCGGAUUAGCUAGUUGGCGGGGUAACGGCCCACCAAGGCGACGAUCCGUAGCUGGUCUGAGAGGAUGAUCAGCCACACUGGAACUGAGACACGGUCCAAACUCCUACGGGAGGCAGCAGUGGGGAAUAUUGGACAAUGGGCGCAAGCCUGAUCCAGCCAUACCGCGUGGGUGAAGAAGGCCUUCGGGUUGUAAAGCCCUUUUGUUGGGAAAGAAAUCCAGCUGGUUAAUACCCGGUUGGGAUGACGGUACCCAAAGAAUAAGCACCGGCUAACUUCGUGCCAGCCGCCGCGGUAA
rnacentral:rRNA from 1 species